UCAGAUGUGGUGCAGUGAGAACACAGCUUCUUGUUUUAGGUCUGUAUCGCAUACAUAUUUCAGAGGCAGCCCGGGGUUCGAUUCCCUGCAUCUGAG